AUUUCCACCUGUUAGAUCAUACUAUUCAACCAACCACCCACUCAACCUUAGGAGACUACUAUUAUUCUAACCGCACAUUCCUUAAUCCAAUGGCUGAAAACCUAGAAGCACAAAUGACAUGGUAGUUUUAAAAGCAUAGGAGCUCAAUUAUAUAUAUAUAUAUAUAUAGAGAGAGAGAGAGAGAGAGAGAGAGAGAGAUAGCAGUGCUAGUAUGCUAUUUUCUAGGAGCACACCAGCUAUUGUGCUCCUAUCUUCUGAACUAUUCAUCAAUUUUGAUGGAAAGUUAGAGUGAGAGAGAGA
rnacentral:lncRNA from 1 species